CCAGGGACAAUGGGUCACCUGGAGAUGGACAGAGCGUCCGCACCCACAAGGCCCCAGGUCUAUGUGGGACCUGGAACUGGGGAAGGAGCCACCUUGCAAUUAAGGAUACAUGUACGCUAAUGAGAUCACAACAGAAAAGGGGGACCCCGGAGUGGGUUCAAGCCCCACCCCCGAAGCUGAGGUGGGGUAUGACAUCUUACCCAUUUCGAGCAAAGUUGGCCCAGUACUUCAUCAUUCUCCUGCUCAACAGCUUUUCUUCCUCUGUGACUUCAACUACAGAGAGCAAGAGGACAAGGGUCUAGAAGCAACAUGCUCUCACCCCCCAGGUGGCAGGGGCUUGGCACUCACCGGCAGACUGGAGCCUUCACGGGCAUGGGCAGGCGUAUAGAUGUUAAGGUAC